rnacentral:misc_RNA from 1 species
GAAAUGCGAUAAGUAAUGUGAAUUGCAGAAUUCAGUGAAUCAUCGAAUCUUUGAACGCACAUUGCGCCCCCUGGCAUUCCGGGGGGCAUGCCUGUUCGAGCGUCAUUACACCACUCAAGCCUGGCUUGGUAUUGAGCGCCGCGGCCUGCUCGCGCGCUCCAAUGUCUCCGGCUGAGCCGUCCGUCUCUAAGCGUUGUGAAUAGCGAUCGCUUGCGAGGCCCGGGCGGUUCGACGCCGUUAAACCCCCCAUUUUCUAUGGUUGACCUCGGAUCAGGUAGGGAUACCCGCUGAACUUAAGC